AUUGAACGCUGGCGGAAUGCUUUACACAUGCAAGUCGAACGGUAGAGGGGGCAACCCCUCGAGAGUGGCGAACGGGUGAGUAAUAUAUCGGAACGUGCCCAGUCGUGGGGGAUAACGUAGCGAAAGUUACGCUAAUACCGCAUACGAUCUACGGAUGAAAGCGGGGGAUCGCAAGACCUCGCGCGAUUGGAGCGGCCGAUAUCAGAUUAGGUAGUUGGUGGGGUAAAGGCUCACCAAGCCAACGAUCUGUAGCUGGUCUGAGAGGACGACCAGCCACACUGGAACUGAGACACGGUCCAGACUCCUACGGGAGGCAGCAGUGGGGAAUUUUGGACAAUGGACGCAAGUCUGAUCCAGCCAUUCCGCGUGCAGGAUGAAGGCCCUCGGGUUGUAAACUGCUUUUGUACGGAACGAAAAGGUUUGUCUUAAUACGAUGAGCUCAUGACGGUACCGUAAGAAUAAGCACCGGCUAACUACGUG
rnacentral:rRNA from 1 species